rnacentral:rRNA from 1 species
UACAGAGGGUGCGAGCGUUGUUCGGAAUUAUUGGGCGUAAAGGGCGCGUAGGCGGUGCGGUAAGUCAACUGUGAAAUCUCCUGGCUCAACUGGGAGCUUGCAGGCGAAACUGCCGUGCUGGAGUGUGGGAGAGGUGCGUGGAAUUCCUGGUGUAGCGGUGAUAUGCGUAGAUAUCGGGAGGAACACCUGUGGCGAAGGCGGCUUUCUGGGCCCUACCUGACGCUGAGGAGCGAAAGCGUGGGGAGCGAACAGG